rnacentral:rRNA from 1 species
GACGAACGCUGGCGGCGUGCUUAACACAUGCAAGUCGUACGGUAAGGCCCUUUCGGGGGUACACGAGUGGCGGACGGGUGAGUAACACGUGAGUAACCUGCCCACAACUUUGGGAUAACGCUAGGAAACUGGUGCUAAUACUGGAUAUGUGCUCCUGCUGCAUGGUGGGGGUUGGAAAGCUCCGGCGGUUGUGGAUGGACUCGCGGCCUAUCAGCUUGUUGGUGGGGUAGUGGCCUACCAAGGCGGCGACGGGGAGCCGGCCAGAGAGGGUGAGCGGCUACAUUGGGACUGAGAGACGGCCCAGACGCCUACGAGAGGCAGCAGUGGGGAAGAUUGCACAAUGGGCGCAAGCCUGAUGCAGCAGCGCCGCGUGCGGGAUGACGGCCUUCGGGUUGUAAACCGCGUUCAGCAGGGACGAAGCUUUUUGUGACGGUACCUGCAGAAGAAGCACCGGCUAACUACGUG